rnacentral:rRNA from 1 species
CUGGCGGCGUGCUUAACACAUGCAAGUCGAACGAACCUUCGGGUUAGUGGCGGACGGGUGAGUAACGCGUGGGAAUCUGCCCUCAGGAGGGGGAUAACGGUUGGAAACGACCGCUAAUACCCCAUAUGCCGAGAGGUGAAAUGAAUUUCGCCUGAGGAUGAGCCCGCGUCUGAUUAGCUUGUUGGUGAGGUAAUGGCUCACCAAGGCAUCGAUCAGUAGCUGGUCUGAGAGGAUGAUCAGCCACACUGGGACUGAGACACGGCCCAGACUCCUACGGGAGGCAGCAGUGGGGAAUUUUCCGCAAUGGGCGAAAGCCUGACGGAGCAACGCCGCGUGAGGGACGAAGGCCUCUGGGCUGUAAACCUCUUUUCUCAAGGAAGAAGAUAUGACGGUACUUGAGGAAUAAGCCACGGCUAAUUCCGUGCCAGCAGCCGCGGUAAUACGGGAGUGGCAAGCGUUAUCCGGAAUUAUUGGGCGUAAAGCGUCCGCAGGCGGCCUUUCAAGUCUGCUGUUAAAACGUGGAGCUUAACUCCAUCAUGGCAGUGGAAACUGAUUGGCUUGAGUAUGGUAGGGGCAGAGGGAAUUCCCGGUGUAGCGGUGAAAUGCGUAGAUAUCGGGAAGAACACCAGUGGCGAAGGCGCUCUGCUGGGCCAUUACUGACGCUCAUGGACGAAAGCCAGGGGAGCGAAAGGGAUUAGAUACCCCUGUAGUCCUGGCCGUAAACGAUGAACACUAGGUGUCGGGGGAAUCGACCCCUUCGGUGUCGUAGCUAACGCGUUAAGUGUUCCGCCUGGGGAGUACGCAC